AUUGAACGCUGGCGGCAUGCUUUACACAUGCAAGUCGAACGGCAGCACGGACUUCGGUCUGGUGCCGAGUGGCGAACGGGUGAGUAAUACAUCGGAACGUGCCCAGUUGUGGGGGAUCAGUACUCGAAAGAGUAGCUAAUACCGCAUGAGAACUGAGGGUGCAAUCAGGGGAUCGUAAAACCUUGCGCAACUGGCGUGUGCGAUGGCGGAUUAGGUAGUUGGUCGGAUAAAAGCUUACCAAGCGGACGAUCUGUAGCUGGUCUGAGAGGACGACCAGACACGCUGGGACUGAGACACGACCCAGACUCCUACGGGAGGCAGCAGUGGGGAAUUUUGGACAAUGGGCGAAAGCCUGAUCCAGCAAUGCCGCGUGCAGGAUGACGGCCUUCGGGUUGUAAACUGCUAUUGUACGGAACGAAAAGCUUCGGGCUAAUACCCUGGAGUCAUGACGGUACCGUAAGAAUAAGCACCGGCUAACUACGUGCCAGCCGCCGCGGUAAUAC
rnacentral:rRNA from 1 species